GCCCGCUUGGCUAAGUGGUAUAGCGUGUCACUAGUACUCUCUCUAAUCAAGAAGUCUAUCUAUUGCCAUGACAAGAUCAGCGGUUCGAUUCCGCUAGUGGGCA